rnacentral:rRNA from 1 species
GAGCUCAACUUUGGAAUCGCUCCGGCGAGUUGUAGUCUGGAGGUGGCCACCACGAGGUGUUCUAGCAGCAGGCAAGUCCUUUGGAACAAGGCGCCAGCGAGGGUGACAGCCCCGUACCUGCUUUUGCUAGUGCUUCCUGUGGCCCACCGACGAGUCGAGUUGUUUGGGAAUGCAGCUCUAAGUGGGUGGUAAAUUCCAUCUAAGGCUAAAUAUUGGCGAGAGACCGAUAGCGAACAAGUACAGUGAUGGAAAGAUGAAAAGCACUUUGAAAAGAGAGUGAAACAGUACGUGAAAUUGUUGAAAGGGAAGGGCUUGCACCCAGACACGGUUUCGGCCGGGCCAGCAUCAAGUAGAACGGGGUUAAAAGACUUGGGGAAUGUAGCUACUUCGGUAGUGUUAUAGCCCUUGGUGAUGACCCCUGUUUUGCUUGAGGACAGCGGUCUCUAGGAUGCUGAAAGCAAUGGUUGCAAGCCACCCGUCUUGA